UGAAUACGAGAUGCUACGGCGUCGAAGCAGUCUAUGUCAUACUUCCAAGAAAAGCUUGCACUGUCAUAAACAAAUAAUGCCUGUACCAUAACCGACACAGGUGGGUAGGUAGAGUAUACUAAGGGGCGCGAGAUAACUCUCUCUAAGGAACUCGGCAAAAUGACUCCGUAACUUCGGGAGAAGGAGUGCCUUAUUUAUAAGGUUGCAAUAACAAGAUCCAAGCAACUGUUUACCAAAAACACAGGUCUCCGCUAAGUCGUAAGACGAUGUAUGGGGGCUGACGCCUGCCCAGUGCCAGAAGGUUAAAGAAGUUGGUUAGCAUCCGCGAAGCUGAUAACUGAAGCCCUGGUGAACGGCGGCCGUAACAAUAACGGUCCUAAGGUAGCGAAAUUCCUUGUCGGGUAAGUUCCGACCCGCACGAAAGGCGUAAUGAUUUGGAUACUGUCUCGGAGAGGGGCUCGGUGAAAUAGACUUGUCUGUGAAGAUGCGGACUACCUGCACCAGGACAGAAAGACCCUAUGAAGCUUUACUGUAACCUGAAAUUGAAAUUGGACUUUACUUGCGCAGUAUAGGUGGGAGGCGUUGAGAAUAUUCUUGCGGGAUUAUUGGAGCCAUCAGUGAGAUACCACUCUUGUAAUGUUAGAUUUCUAACUUUGUAUCAUUAUCUGGUCAAAGAACAGUUUCAGGCGGGCAGUUUGACUGGGGCGGUCGCCUCCUAAACGGUAACGGAGGCGCACAAAGGUUUCCUCUGAACGGGUAGAAAUCGUAUCUAGAGUGUAAAGGCAUAAGGAAGCUUGACUGUGAGACCUACAAGUCGAGCAGGGACGAAAGUCGGUCUUAGUGAUCUGACGGUGCUGAGUGGAAAGGCCGUCACUCAACGGAUAAAAGUUACUCUAGGAUAACAGGCUGAUCUCCCCCAAGAGUUCACAUUGACGGGGAGGUUUGGCACCUCGAUGUCGGCUCAUCGCAUCCUGGGGCGGUAGUACGUCCCAAGGGUUGGGCUGUUCGCCCAUGAAAGCGGUACGCGAGCUGGGUUCAGAACGUCGUGAGACAGUUCGGUCCAUAUCCGGUGUAGGCGUUAGAAUAUUGAGAGGAGCCUUCUUUAGUACGAGAGGCCCGAGAAGGACAUACCUCUGGUGUACCAGUUAUCGUGCCAACGGUAAACGCUGGGUAGCUAUGUGUGGAGUGGAUAACCGCUGAAAGCAUCUAAGUGGGAAGCCCACCUCAAGAUAAGUAUUCUCAC
rnacentral:rRNA from 1 species